rnacentral:lncRNA from 10 species
GUCUCUGAUUGGCAGGAGAGUCACGAACCGGUCAGCCCCGGGUCAGGGGCCGCAAGUGAGGACACUACAAGUGUCGAGGGGCCUAGGGGAAGCCGGGGCUUGGGAGGGCAGGGCUUUCUCUGCUUGCGGACAUCGCGAAGGGCCUCUGGCAGGCGCCGCCGGGUGGCGGCGAGACGCCUCCGCGCCUCCGGGGUUCCUUGUUCGCUGUCGGAGGAGGACCGGCUGAGGGAUGGCCUGGUGGGGAGGGAGCCCUCGGGCAGGUGGCUGCGUCGGGCCUGGGGCAGUUGUGCUGCGCUUGGAGACCUGCCCGCCCUCGGGGCCUGUGUGCACAGGGAGGAUAGGCUGUUUAUCUCUGCAGGCUCAGGAAGGCAGUUCUGUAGUCAGAAGUCCAACAUGGUUCUCAAUGGCCUAAAAUCAAGGUGUCCACAGGAUUGUGUUCCUUUCUAGAGAGGUAAGGGAAGAAUCUGAUUUUUUUUUUUUUUUUGCUUAUUCAGGUUGUUGGACAAAUUGAGUCCCUUGCUCUUGUAGCUGUUCUCCCUGUUUCUUUGCUGGCUGUCAGCUAAGAGCUGUUUUCAGCUUCUAGAGGCCACUCACAUUUCCUUGGUUAUGGCCCUCUUCGUCUCCAAAGCCAGCAAUGGUGGAUUGAGACCCUUUCAUCCUUGUAAAUCUUUCUUUCUUCUUCUUCCAUUGCUGUAUCUCUCCAAUUACAGCCUUUUAAGAAUCCAUUGGUUAGACAGAAUCUCCCCCGCUCAAGGUUCAUAACUUUUAUUUACAUCUGCAAAGUUGCUUUUGCGGUAAUAAUGUAACAUAUUCACAGCUUACAGGGAUUGGGGAAUGGAUAUAUUUAGGAGCCAUUAUUCUACCUAUCUCAGAUCUCAAUUGGGGCCAUGCAGUAUAUCCAGUGUUUCAUACCACUAUUCUCAAUACUUUAUGUUAGAAUAAUAAUAUUGAUAAUAGGUAAAUUUUGUUGGUUAUAUAAUAUGCUCAAGGUACUUUUCUGAGCCCUUUUACUAAAUUCACUCAUUUAAUCCUCAGAACUACCCUAGGAGGCAAACACUGUUAUUGUUCCCACUCACAGAUGAGGAAACAGGUACUGAAAGCUGAAGUAACUUGUCGAAUUUCUCACAGCCAUUAAAUGGUGAAAUGGAGAUCUGAACCUAGGUAGUCUGGUUCCAGAGCCUGUGCAUGCUCUGAAGCUCAACAUAAUAAAAAUAAUUUCUACAUACCUGGAUUUAACUAAACAUGUGUUGAUGAUACAGUGGCUAUGAAUUCAGGUUCUGACAUCACCUUGUGGAUUCAAAUUCUACCUACCCAUUACUGAAUGACCCUGGGCAAGUUACUUGACCUCUCUGAGACUUAACAAUAAACUGAACCAAUAAUAAUAGUUGAGAAUUAAACAAAUACUAUAUGUAAGGUACUUAGAGCACUGCCUCUACAUACAGUCAUUCAUAACAAUAGAGAUACGUUUUGAGAAGUGCGUCAUUAGGCUAUUUUGUUGUGUGAACAUCGUAGAGUGUACUUACACAAACCUAGAUGAUGUAGUCUACUACAUACCUAGGCUACAUGGGAUAACCUUUUGCUCCUAGGCUACAAACCCGCACAGCGUGUUACUGUACUGAGUACUAUAGGUAGUUGUAACACAGUGGUAAGUAUUUGUGCAUCUAACCAUGUCUAAACAUAGAAAAAUUGCAGUAAAAAUACAGUAUUAUAAUCUUAGGGACCACUGUUGUGUAUGUGGGCCAUCAUUGACUGAAACAUCAUUAUGCAGUGCAAGCAAUUGCUAGCUGUAAUUAUUGAUGACAAUUCAACUUUUAAAAACAGUAUUUAUUAUAAAAAGAAAUGUUUCCUUUAGAGAUCAGUCUUUCCUUGUAAAAUAAAAACUGAAAAUUAAAAUUUUUACUUUAAUACACUACAGUGCUAUCUCCUUUCUCAGACUCUGAUUUCUCCUCACUCUAGGCUAGCAUCUAUCGUUCUAACCAUGGUACCUUCAGUGUUAUCUGAUCAUGCAUUCUAAAUACUUUGUCCAGAUCCUAGUAUCUGCAGGCUAAUAUUCAAACUCUCUAGAAGGGCACCAGGACUUUUCACACAUUCCAGAGACUCUCUCUUGCCAUUCCUCUGCUGGGUAUUUACACAGCCAUCAAUUCUAACUUUUCACUGCUCUCGUUUGCUAUUAUUAUUCUUUGAGGGAGACUUAUGUGUGUGGAGGGGACUCUGGGGAGUAUGGACAAUGUCAUAUCCUGGGUCCCCUUCCAUAAUGCCUGCUAAUACCACUCCAAAUUCACUCUCUCUUUUAAUAAUCUUUCCUGCACUUGCCUUAAUUCAAACCCUCAUUAUCCUUGCACUUUAAGCCAUCUCUUAACAAAUUGGUGGCCUCCAGCCUCACUGCCCUUCAGGCUUACUAUCCUUGCUUGCUGGAAUGAUCUCUAAACUACAAAACUCUAUAUGUUACUCUCCUUCUUCAAACCAUUCAGUGUCCCCUCUGCCAGGUCCUACAAAUAUUACUCUUUUUUCUGUGCCUCUUGGUACCAGUUACAUGCUUCUACCGUAACUUAAAAGGUGUCACACAGUUGUUUAUUUAAAUACAUAUCUUCCCUUCUAAAUCAGGAGCUCAUGGAUAAUAGAGCCAUAAGAGAUGGUUUUGCUUUAAUGAAUUUAUAUUAUUUCAUGAUAACAUAAAUUAUUGUAUUAUUGUAUCAUCUGUCUCUUGUCACUAAUCUGUGAACUCUUUAAGGGGAGACUAAUUGUUUUAUUCAUUUCUCUUUUUCCUCUAUGCCCGUGGCAUAGGAGGUACUUAGUAAUUGGUCAAUGAAUGAUUUGGGAAAAAUAAUCCAGAAUAUAUACAAUUUUUUAGUCUGCUUCAGUCUAAAUAAAUAUAUGAAACUAUGUAUUUGGAAUAUAUAUGAUUUCAUUAUGAUUAUUAUAUACAAUUCAAUUAUGAUUUUAGAAGAAGCAUAAUUCCUGUACUCUGGAGCCAGAGUGCCUGAGUUUGAAUUCUGGCUCUGCCACUUACAAGCUUGGGGAAGUUUUCUUGGGAAAGCUAAUCAAAAUUGUGUUUGUUGUUUGUCUGUAGAAGAAGAAUGAUAAUAGUAACUGUCUUUUAAGUUAAUAGAACUAAAUGAAUAAUAUUUAUAACGUAUCUAUGACUUUAGACUCUAUAAUAGUGUCUACCACCUAGUAAAUGUUCUACAAGUGCUUGUUAAAUAAAAACAUAAUAGUUUUUAUUCUCAUUGCUUUUGAUGAUAGGUAAUGGUCUUGAAAUACAAUGAUUUAGAAAAAAUCGUCCCGUACUUUCUAGUGGUGUUUUGAACUAGUUUUUUUACUCAAUGAUUUUUAAUAUUGUACAUUCUAGAAUGAUCAUAUAUAUUCCUUCAACAUUUAGAGAGUACCUGUGUGUGAUCUCUCUCAGGAAACACUUACAUAUUUUCUCUUUGUAUUAUUUUUCUGUUGCCAUUAUAACAAAUUACCACAAACUUAGUUGCUUAAAACAACGUAAAUUUAUUAUAUUAUUAUUCUAUAGAUCAGAUGUCUGACAAUAAUCUCACCAACCUAAGAUCAAGUUGACAGCAGGGUAGCACUCUUUACUGGAGACUGCAGGCUAGAAUCUGUUUUCUUGCCUUUUCCCAUUUUGGAGGCUGUCCACAUUCAUUGGCUCUUGGCCCCCUUCUUCUACCUUCAAAGCCUGCAAUGUUGCAUCUCUCUAAUCAUUCUGGCAUAAUCACAAGUGUUUCUCUGACCACAGCCAGGAAUGGUUCUCUGCUUUUAAAGGAUUCUUGUGAUAAAAUUGGACCCACCUGGAUAAACCAUGUCAGUCUUCCCAUUUCAAGAACCUUAACUUGAUUACAUGUGCAAAAUUCCUUUCCCUAUGUAAAGUAAUUUAUUCAUAAGUUCUAUGGAUUGGAGUAUGGACUUCUUUGGAGGACUGUUAUUCUGCCUACCACACUCUUGUACUGUAAAUGAGUCACUGUGGAAAGGUAAUAGGUUGUAGCUUCUGAAAAUAAAGAUAAAUGUUAGCUAGAUUGUUAACAGUAGUGUCAGUAUCAUUUAUGACUCUACUGGUUGUUGAGAGCGAAGUUGGCUUAGUAGAAUGCUUAGGUACUGCAGGGCUCACUGAUUAUGUCUUUGUCUCCUAGGAUUUUUAUUCUACUAGAGAGGGAAGAAUACAUUCAUAUUUGUUGCAUAUCUGCCGUGUCCUAGGUACUCUACAAUGAACUACAGAUACAUUAAUCCCAUUUAAUUUCCACAAUAACUUUAUGAGGUGUGGUAGGAGGCCUUCUAAGAUGACCCAAUGAUCUCCAUCACAUAGCACUCACCCCCUUGUAUAAUCUCCCUCCUUUGAAUGUAAGCUUAACCCAGUGACUCUACCAAUGAACAGAGUAGGACAAUAGUGAUAGUAUAUCAUUUCUGAGAUUGGAUUCCAGAAAACUAUGACUUGUCUCUCACUUACACUGUCUGUCUCUUGCCCUCUUAUUUGCUUGCUUUGAUGAAGCAAGCUGCAGUGUGGUAAACUGCCUUUGAAAGAGACCCACAUGUCAAGAAACUGAGCAUCACCUGUGACCAACAGCCAGAAAGUAACUGAAGCCCCAAGACGAACAGCUUGUGCAAAACUAAAUUCUGCCUACAACAAGAGCAUGAAUUGAGACGCAGAUCCUUCCCUAGUUGAUCCUUGAAAUGCUUGCAGCUCUAUGGACACCUUGAUUGCAGCCUUGUGAGAAAUUCUGAACUAGAGGACCUCGUAUGCCUUACCCAUAGGUCUUACAAGAUAAUACGUGUUUUUCAAAAAAGUAAGUUUGGGGAUAAUUUCUUAUGCAGCAAUAGAUAAUGAAUAAUAAAGUAAAUACAGUUUUUUGCUGUUGACUUCAAAAAUGUUUAAAGAUUUUACUGUUAUAUAAUUGUACAUAUUUAUGGGGUACAUGUGAUAUUUUGAUACAUGCAUACAAUGUGUAAUGAUCAAACUGGGGUAAUUUGAAUAUCCAUCACCUCAAAUGUUAUUUAGUGGUAUUGGGAACAUUCCAAAUCUUGUAGGUAUUUUGAAAUAUACAAAAAGUUAAUUUUAUAUAUAAAUAUAUGUCAUAUAUUAUUAAUAUAUUAAUAAUAUAUGCCAUAUAUAUAUAUGUAUGUAUAAAUGCCAUAUAUAUUAAUUACAUGUAUGGCAUGUUUUCUUUUAUACAUUUAUCCACUGAUAAACACUUAGGUUCCUUCCUUACCUUGGCUAUUGUGAAUAGUGCUGCAAUAAACAUGGGAGUGUAGAUAAUCUCUUUGAUGCACUAGUUUUCUUUCUUUUGGAUGUAUACCUAGCAGUGAGAAUGCAGGAUCAUAUGGUAGAUAUAUUUUUAGUUUUUUGAGGAACUUUCAUACUGUUUUUUACAGUGGCUGUGCUUAUUUACAUUCCCACCAACAGUGUGUGAGUGUUCACAUCCUUGCCAGUAUUUAUUAUUUUUUGUCCUUUGAUAAUUUUAACUGGAGUGAAGUGAUAUAAUUGUGGUUUUGAUUUGCAUUUCCCUAAUGAUUAGUGAUGUUGGGUAUUUUUUUUAAUACCUGUUGGCCAUUUGUAUGUAUUCUUUUAUGAAGCAUCUAUUUAGAUCAUUUGUCCAUUUGUAAAUCAGAUUAUUUGUUUUUUUGCUAUUGAGUUGUUUGAGUUUCUUAUAUGUUCUGGUUAUUAAUCCCUUGUUGGAUGGAUAGUUUGCAAAUAUUUUAUCCCAUUCUGCAGGUUGUCUCUUUAUUGAUUGUUUCCUUUGCUGUGCAGAAGCUUUGCUUUAGUACAGAUAAUAAAACAAAUACUUGGAAAGAUUAGGCAACUUCCUGGGUCACUUAAUUAUUAGUAGAAGCUCUUUCCACUGCAAAUAGUGAUGAUAAUAGUAAUAAAAUUGAAGUAUUAGUAGUUGCUUAUGUUUAUUGAGCAAUUACUAGGUAUUAGACAACUUUCAGUGCAUUUUAUAUGUUAUAAUCUUAGAUUAUUACAACUUUAUAAAGUAGGUACUAUAAUUAUCUCAUUUGAUAAAUGAUGAAAUUGGAUUUAAGAGAGGUCAAACUAUAUUCCCAAGAUCCGCAGUGAGCCAGUAGAUUGGCAGGAUUUGAACUCAGGUUGUAUGGCUCUUGAGUUCUCACUCUUACCACUAUAAUAAAUUGUUCCCUAAAGAUCCAUGCUAUGAGGCAAAAGGUGAUGGUGCAGCAGGAAGAAAUGAAAGGUUACAGUCUGUCAGGCGAAUGAGAUUAUCCCUGACCAAGUUAUUAGGAAAUGCUGUGGCACUAGGAAGGUAUCCGACAUGGCUCUGAAAGGCUGGGUAGAAUUUAAGCUUCUGGCUGUUAGAGGAAAGAGCAUAAUCAGCUGAGCAAGACAGCUGGAGAAGCAUGAGCUGGAAGACACCAGCUCACAGCAUCUAGAGCUGCAUCAGGAUGAGGAAAAGUGGGAGAUAAAUUUAGAAAGAUAGUUUGGGGCCUGGAGAUAGUUAUGUAAAAAAAAAAAAAGAAUGUAUUGUUUAUAAAAUUAUUGAUUCUUGAGGUUUGUGACUAGUAGUUUAAAUCAACUACAUCUUAAACUAUUUAGUGGCACUAUUAUAGAGAUGAUAUUCGGGUAAAUUUGAAACACACAGAGAAUCAGAUUGUAUAGAUUGUAUGAAAAUAUGAAAUUUAGUUUCAGUACAGUACAAAAGAAAACUUAUGAAUGUACACUGAACAUUUUGUGUGGUUAAACUUCUUGACACAUUAAAAAAUGUGUUAAGUUUAUAUUUAGUUUCAGCAAAACUGCAUGAAUCAUUAUAUAUCAACAUAUACAGGUAUUUUUUUCUUAUAAAAAUAGUAUUAUUGGUGGUUACAUGCAAAGAACAUUAAGCAUUCCACUAAAAACAGAGCUUAUAGAAAUGAAGAAAAAAUUUCAUUAUGAUUGUGUUUUAGUUACCUGGGAGUAGGCCUUAAAAACAGAAGUAUUUUUUUCUUCAAAACAUUCAGAUUCACUAGAUGAAAAUUUAAUUUUGUAGGAUGUCUGUACAGUUCAACUUUGAUUAUGGUGUGAGCUUUCAAUUUAGACAAUUUAUCAUUACAUGGAGAGGAAUUUUUUCUCUUAAGCCAGAUUGAGUUUUCUUUCCAGGGAAUAGAUGAAUCCAGGAGAAAUCUUUCCACAGCUUAUACCUAGCCAAUGGACAGCUCAUUGAAUAAUGGCAAAAGGAAAAUAUGUAAUAUCUUUUCCUAUAGUCUCUCUUUGACCUUGACUUAUCUCAAAAUUCUCCUAUUCAUAGAUUAAAGCAGUUUACAUUUCGAUUCCUAAAUUUGGGGGUUGGACUUCUGCUUCAAAACAGUACAAAGCAGGCAGUUGAUAAUAUAAAAUAUAUGCAGAGGCCUGACUGAUUUGCCUCUGACAGUUGUGUGACCUUUGGAAGGUCUCUUAACUGUCAAGGCCCUCAGUUUCUUAAUCUCUCAUCUGUUUGACAUGUCCUCUAAAAUUUUUCCUUUGUUUUAAUGGAUUAGGAUUCUACAGGCCAAUUUUUUAUGGCUGCAGUUUCAACCUGAUCGUGCAGUUAAACAUGUGGGCCUUUGUGCUGUCUAUAUGUUUUAUUUGAAGUCAUCUUUUCUAUGUCUGUAGCUUUACAGGAAUAACAUAAUUACAUCCAUAAGAGAGGCUAAGUCCUAAAUUCCUAGCCUAGCCCAAGUUUGGCUUCACUUCUUGCUAAUUUUGAUCUUAAAAUUUAGGAGAGGCUACUCCCUCUACCUCAUAGCCAGACAGAUUCUGUACUAUCCCUAGAGGAAUAAUCUUGAAGCCCUUUCAUUUUAAAAUAUCUCCCUUUUCUGUAUGUAUUUAAGUGUUUGUACUAUAUAUCUUACUGCCAUAACAGAGGAAGCCAGUGAGGUAAUGAGAAAAAAUAUAUGGCAAUUAUUUGACCUGACAUCAUUAACCUUAACAGCCUCAGCAUCCAAUACCUACCUUCAUCCCCAGCCCCUACGCUCCCACCUGGAAGACUGCAGUGACCCUUAGAGGCAGGACAUUUCUUUGAAAAGAAGCCUUUGGAACUCUGUCUGGAAAGGGUAUUUUGAACACUCAUUACUUCAGAGUUUCAGGACGAGUCUGAGGUCAAUAUUCUUGUAUCCCACAAAAAAUAUGAGUAGAAUAAAGGAUUAUAUACAUACACUAGCAUUUCACAUGAUUUCCAAACAGUCAGAAAGUAUCCAGAAGUCCUGGUUUUUCUUGAGUUCCUGAAUUAAUGAAUUUUUCCUCCUCAUUUUAGAAGGAUCUAAUGAUUAAACAUUGCUCCCAAGUACUUCUGGGUCAUAGAAAUUCUCUGAGAGUUGGAUAAAGAAGAUGCUGUAGAGUUACAAGAACUGGGCUUGAAGUUAAGGAGACCUGAUAGCUUAUAUCCACAUACUCAUUGAGUUGAGUGCCCUUGAGCAAAUGAUAGAACAUCUGAGGGCUUUAGUACUUCAUGCGAAAAUGAAGAAUAUGGGCUAGAUAAAUUUAGUGAACUUUUCCAAUUCUAAAUUUAUAUGAUUCUAAGAGUAAGUUGCCAAGUGUCUAUAGAUACUUUGGAUUACACCCAGGCACCAAGGCGAAUGUCAACGGGUAGUGCUGCUUAGCUAGGCUUUGACAUUAUCCAGAGUAGUAGAGGUGGAAGCUUAAUUCAUUUGGUUUCCAAAAACUACUGAGGGAUGAGUAGCCCUGAGAAUAUAAGACUAGGCUAGUCUUUGCUACACCAUCUUGAAGUGUUUUGUUUUAUAAUAUUCAGUUUACAGAGAUUUAGUAAAUUUAAGGUGACUUUUAGCCAUUAUUACAGAAAGACAGUAUAAAAUCUAUGAUUUCUUUACUUAUUCAUUUUAAAUCCUAUUAUUUAAAAAUUAUCCUUGUUAGAAAAUCUUACUAAGGUUUAUUAAUCAAAUGGCAAUCAAUGAAAUAAGAUUUGUACUGAAUGUAUGACACUAUAUUAGUCACUUUGGGAGGAUAUAAACAUUUGUGGGAGCGUGCUUGCCCUUAGUUUGUAUGUUAGGAGAAGAGAAAAGUCACUAAGAAAUAAAAAUAUGAACAAGAAUGAAAGAAUCAAAAUGCUCAGGACAUUUUGCAGGAGAAUGGAAUUAAUCUAAAAGAAAGAAUGUAUCCUUUGGUUUUUUAAUGAAAUAACUUUGGGAGUACUUUUUAAAAUUAAAGAUUAUUUUACUUAGAAGCAGAUUGAAAUCUUUCUUUUUCCAGCCUGCAGAGCUCUCUUUAAAGAUAAACGUUGCAGUGGUAUUUUUAAUUAUUAAGGCUGGGCACUUAUUUCCUUCUUACACUCACACACUUCCAAGGGGAUUUGGAACAUGGAAGAAUUUCAUAGCUAUUUAGAGAAAUGAGAACUUAGGUCUUUAUAAUUGCAAAUGUUACUUUCCAGUUCUAAGUUCAGGCUCUAUUCUCCAUGGUAUUGAAUCUUCCAAGUUGUGAUACAUCAAUAUAAUGUAUGAUCUGUGCCUGAACAUCCAAACAUUUGUAAGUUUCUAGGAUAGAUGAAGGCAAAUUUGUUUCAGCUAGCUUUGUUAUGAUUUAUUUUUUCUAAGUGGUUAGUAACUUACCAAUUAAAUAUAUAAUUUGGAAAAUAAAAUUUGAUAAUUUUUUCUCUUUCACAAGUAAUUGUAGCUCAAACACAAAGCAAUACUAAUGUAGUCUGGCUGUCUAUGGGCAAGUUACCUGAAGCAGUGUCUGAGCGUGUUUAGUCAUAAGCCUAAGACAACCAGAAAAUGUUCAUUUUGGGAAGAUGAUGAUUUCUGCUCACCUAUCAGAACCUCAAACUACAUGUGUGCUUAAGUAGUGUUUAGUGAAGGUAAAUAUUUCUUUUUUUUUUUUAGACAUGGUCACUUGAUUUAAUAACAAUACAUAUACCAUGUUAUCACUAUGGAAUGUAAAUUCAGGUUAGACAAGAGAAUUUCACAAGUGUAAUAGCAUUCUGUAGUAUAUAAAAGUGUGUAUACACUGUCUGACCAAACCAGCUUGCUCAUAAAGCAUUAAUCAAUUCCAUUAUAGGUAAUUUGUUUAGUUUAAUGUUUAUAAUUCUUAGGGAGAAAAUAAGAAAAGCACACAUUUAUUUAUUUAUUUAUUUAUUUAUUUAUUUAUUUAUUUAGAGACAGGGUCUCACUCUGUUGCCCAGGCUGGAGUGCGGUGGUGUGAUCUCAGCUCACUGCAGCCUCUGCCUCCCAGGCUCAAGCAAUUCUCCUGCCUCAGCCACCUGAGCAGCUGGGACUACCAGUGUGCGCUGCCACACCUGGCUAAUUUUUGUAUUCUUAGUAGAGGCAGGGUUUAAUUAUGUUGCCCAGGCUGGUCUCGACCUCCUAAACUCAAGCAAUCCACCAACCUCGGCGUCCCAAAGUGCUGGGAUUACAGGCAUAAGCCACCGUGCACAGCCAGCAACGCACACAUUUAGAAAGUGUUUAUUUACCUUUCUAUGAGUGCUUAAAAUACACAUUUCUAUUUCAAGAUGAUAUUUAAAAAUUAUUCUAAUGUAACAGCCGCAAAAAUAUAACUCUACAAUUACAAGAGAACUAAACUAGAAUCCAUAAGUUAUUCUCAUGUUUAUAAUUACGUUUUUUGUUGUUGUUGUUGUUGUUUGUUUUUUUUGAGACGGAAUCUCACUCUGUCGCCCGGGCUGGAGUGCAGUGGCGCGAUCUUGGCUCACUGCAAGCUCCACCUCCCGGGUCCACGCCGUUCUCCUGCCUCAGCCUCCCGAGUAGCUGGGACUACAGGCGCCCGCCACCACACCUGGCUAAUUUUUUUGUAUUUUUAGUAGAGACAGGGUUUCACCGUGUCAGCCAGGAUGGUUUCGAUCUCCUGACCUCGUGAUCCACCCGCCUCGGCCUCCCAAAGUGCUGGGAUUACAGACGUGAGCCACCGCACCCUGCCGCGAUUCUUUAAUAAAUACUACUACUCUGCAGCCCUAUUGUAAGCUUUCUAGAUUUGGUUUAAACACACACACACAUAUAUACUUUCAGCUGUGGGAGGCUUUACAACUUCUAUUCCAUGCAUUUUCUAGACAGAGCUCUAAAAAAGCCAGCCAGUCCACAAGACAGGUAGAAAAAAAGUUAAAUUAACUGGGGCAAAUAGGACUCUUAUAUAACAUCCAAAACAUGAGAGAUUCUGCAGCAAACUGGGAGUACUUCAGGGUUGGCGUGCUGUCUUCUUUAGAACUAAUUUCACCUCAAUAGUUUAAGAAGGUGGACAUUUUAACACUAUCCAGUGCAUUUAGGUGACAUGUUUCUUUUGUGUUAACUUGACUCCCCUGAAUGACCUAGUUGGUAAACUAGUCACGAAUAAUUCGAUCACCAGGCAAAUCAAGCCUGUAGGAAAGGAAGCCAAUAUUCGAAAUGCCAUGUUACCAUCUGAACCCACUCAAAUAGUUUAUUUUUAACAUUAAUAUGUAACUUCAGUAAUGAGAUCUCUAACUAAAGCAAGCUCCUCCAAGAAGACCAAGACAGCUUCAUUUCUUCUAAGGCUUAGGAUUGCCCAGAAUUCCUAAUACAUGGAAUAGCCCAUGCCAAGAGUCAUUACUCCUACAACAAAGUCUUGGGCUGCCACACACACGUGGAUCAGAUGAAGGGGCAUUUUAGUAUUUCCCCUGCUCUUCAAUUUGUAUAAUCCCUAUACAACAAUUGCUGCAAAACCUGCCAUUCCAAUGGGGAUGAAUGGUGCGUCUUUAGCUUUUCUAAUAAGUUUGGGUCCCUGAUCUUCAUCAUAUGAAGAUAGGGAAGCAUCUGUGUCUGUUGACGUAGUGAUUGCUUGAAGAAUCUCCCUAGAACUAGCAAACCCCUCACACGCCAGCUGGCUCGAAGCUAAAUAUUUCUAAGUAUUGUCAUAUAUAAUUUUUAAAAUAAUGCUAAUUUAUAAUAAUGUACUAUAGGUGACUCAGAUUUAUGAUUAAAGUUAGGCUAUUUCCCUCUAUUUUAUAAAAUAAUAGUAAUGGUUAAUAGUACCAAAUAUAUGCAACACACUAUUGUAAGUAUUUUACGUUUAUUAAUAUUAAUGCACUUUACAUUUGCAACAACCCCAUGUAGUAGGCAUUGUUAUUACCAGAUUUCCAUUUUACAGAUGAAGAAACUGAGACACAGAGAAAUUAAAUAAAUUACCCCAGAUCGAAAGGUUGACAGGGCCAGAAUGUAAUGCCAGGCACCCUGCUCCUGGCAUCAGUGCUUUAAUCACUAUACUAUUCUUCCUCUCAAUACAGUCUGCACUUCAGCUCCCUUCAUUUAGACCUGGAGCCGCAUUCUAAACUUGAGUACCUGCAGCCAAAAUCUGUUUUUCAGUUAAUCACUCGAUAUUGAAUGAAUGAAAUGGAAAGAAGUCAAAUAACUAGCUUAUAGUCAGAGCUGGCUACGUUAUUUGCAGGGCCAAGUCCAUAAUGAAACUGCUUGUUCAAAAAAUAGGAAAAAAAAGUGUAAUUAAAUAUACUAAAAUAUAAAGCUUUUCCUUUAGUUUACAAUCUUUCUCCUGUCAUGAUAGUUUUGUUUGCCAUUUAGUGUCAUCUUAAGAAAAGGAAAAUUAAAAUUUAAAAUGAUUAGCAUACAUUUUAUCAUUCAUCUUUCUAUUGUGCAAUACCUAUUUUUAAAUGCAAAUAUGGGAGUAUUUAAUUCGCAUGUGGAAAUUCCAC